CAUGUCUGGGGAUGAAGGCAAGAAGGGUCAGGCCAGGAAGGCUGACAAGCCCUUCUGCCUGUGCCUGCUCACUCAGCACUGCUGUGCUCUGGUUCAGCGCCGGUGCCUGUGUCCCUGGCUCACACGGGAGUGAAGAAGCCUUGGGCAGUUGUUGAAGGAAAGCAGCAGGGAGUUGUUGCUGCAUCCCAGGACCUGGUACAUCCCUUUUGGGUUGGGUACCCACAAUGGCAAGGACCCAAAUGCCACAGAUGAACCUGGCUGUUCCCAGGCUGGUGUUUGACCUCAGUUGUUCCAGAUUUCCUCCCUGCAGCUCUUGGCCCAGCCAGCACAAGGAAAAUGUGAUUACUGGAGCAGGCAGUGCAGUAACCAAGGAAACUAAACAAACAUCCCCUGCUCUGUCUGAGCACAGCCCAAACCCUCCACUCCUCGGGGUGGGGUGAAGGGAAUCAAGCAGCAGGCAGCGCCCAGCAUCCCCUCCCUGUCUGGCAGCAGCAGGGACAGGGACAGCAGGUGGCUGUCAGCAACGCUUAGUGGCACAGGACACAGACUGGAGGGAGGUGAUGGGCCUGGUGUGUUAUUCUGGGGAUAAACGUCACAUCUCAGAACUCUUUUAGGGCUUCUGUGCCCUCUGCAUGCCAUUCUCUGGGGCAUCCUUUGGCUGAACCACAUUCUGCAUGCAGCACAGAGCACUCAGGUCUGGUCAUCACACACUUUCUGGAAGCAGCUGUGGUCCUCAGCAAGGCAAUGCCAGGGCAGCAAUCCUGGCUGCCUGAAGGGGCCUUUGCUUUGCUGUGUCUGACCACUGGGCAACCAUACAGGUGUAGAACCCAGGCUGAUAGCCAUGAUGGUAGAAGCAGGGUUCAGGUUAAGCUUUCAUAGCCGCAGCCCAGUGCUGCUGCUUCAUAGGGCACAAGGGAGUUUUUUGCCUUGCCACCUGCAGUAAGGCUGAGCAAAGAGAAGGAAGGCAGGGACAAGGAAGGGACUGGCUGACCAUGGCACUAAUUACAGAGCUGAUCCUACACAGCUGUUGGAGCCAGCCCUGUCCUGUCUCUGCCAGGCCAAGUGCUGCCUGCCCAGCCCAGCUGUGCCCCAUCUGUAGCAAAUAGCCUGUGCAUCCUGGGAUGGGGGGAGUCUGUUGGGCUGCUGCAGGGGGCUGGGCUCAGGCUGUGCUGGUUUUAGACUCAGUAGGAAGAGGCAACCCCUCACCUGUCCACCUCAUUGCCUUAUUUCAAGCUCCCAGUUUUGAGGUAUGGACCAGCUCUCUGUGCAGCACCUUCCCAAAGGUACCCUCAUUUCAAAGUAAGAUGGAGGAUUUUUAAAUCCUCCUGCGGUACAAAUACAAAAUAAACCAAAUGCCAGCAGGUGCUGCCUGUAGUGCCAUGAGCUUGGCUGAUCCUUGCCAUCCACCUUCCCACUACCCCUUUCUUUCCCACUGCAUGACUGAUACGUGUGAUAAGGGCAUGAUGGGGUCAGCCAGGACAAGUGCUGGUGGUGACAUUCCUGUGGUGCACAGGGAAGGCAUGCCGGGAUUUCUCUUGUGGGAAGAAUUAUCCGGACCUGUUUUUUUUUUUUUUUUUUUUAUGAACUUGUUUUCGAGCUCUCGCUGGGGUGCUGAGCACGAGCUCUGAGCUGCUAUUAUGUGCAUAACACAGCAGCUGCACAGCUCAGCCCUGCCUGACCCAUGACCACGGUGAGAGUCGGGGAUGGAGCCUUCCCCGCCUCCCAGGGCUCUUCCGGGCACGCAGGGAGCAAACAGCCCCAUAGUGUAGCUGGUCCCCAGCAGUUCUGGCUGGAGACAUAAAGGAGAGCCAUGUGACGGCCGGUCAUGCUCCCACUGUCAGCGCGGG